GAGAAGGAAAACAAUCAGCUCUGUUCUCUCAGGGCGGAAGGAGUGAGCUGCAAUGAGGGAGCGCACGCAAGCCCCAGCACACAGAUAAAUCUGACUUCCCCUCAAGUUAAUGGCUGGUACCAAGGCAAAAACCUCAAUUCCUAAGCACCAGGACUGUGAUAUUUUCUGUGCAGCAAACACUGGAAUGGCAAAAUGAUUUUUAUACAGCAUAGCUGGAGAUGGAGAAAUGAAUGGGAAAAACAAAAUAAUGCAACAUGAAGACAAACCAAAGUGUAGGAAUUGACUCUGAGAAGAGGCAAUGAUAAGGAUAAUUAAUGGAAGAACAGCACUUUGAGAAAGAAAGACAAAGAUCUAUGAAACGUCAUCAAAUACCAGAGUGAGCGUAAUCACAAAAUACCUAAUAAGAACAAAGAAUGAAGAGAAUUUUGUCUUUAGCCAAAAAGCCCAUUUGCCUCUUGCAAUGCAUACCUUUUCUUUGAAAAUCAGUACCAUAUUUUUUAUGGGCUUUAAUGCUUGAUUACUGA